GAUUAAGUUAUUAAGGGCGCACGGUGGAUGCCUUGGCACUAGAAGCCGAUGAAGGACGUUACUAACGACGAUAUGCUUUGGGUAGCUGUAAGUAAGCGUUGAUCCAGAGAUUUCCGAAUGGGGGAACCCAGCAUGAGUUAUGUCAUGUUAUCGACAUGUGAAUUCAUAGCAUGUCAGAAGGCAGACCCGGAGAACUGAAACAUCUUAGUACCCGGAGGAAGAGAAAGAAAAAUCGAUUCCCUGAGUAGCGGCGAGCGAAACGGGAAGAGCCCAAACCAACAAGCUUGCUUGUUGGGGUUGUAGGACACUCUAUACGGAGUUACAAAAGAACAUGUUAGACGAAUCAUCUGGAAAGAUGAAUCAAAGAAGGUAAUAAUCCUGUAGUCGAAAACAUAUUCUCUCUUGAGUGGAUCCUGAGUACGACGGAGCACGUGAAAUUCCGUCGGAAUCUGGGAGGACCAUCUCCUAAGGCUAAAUACUCUCUAGUGACCGAUAGUGAACCAGUACCGUGAGGGAAAGGUGAAAAGUACCCCGGAAGGGGAGUGAAAGAGAACUUGAAACCGUGUGCUUACAAGUAGUCAGAGCCCGUUAAUGGGUGAUGGCGUGCCUUUUGUAGAAUGAACCGGCGAGUUACGAUCUGAUGCAAGGUUAAGCAGCAAAUGUGGAGCCGCAGCGAAAGCGAGUCUGAAUAGGGCGUUGAGUAUUUGGUCGUAGACCCGAAACCAGGUGAUCUACCCUUGGUCAGGUUGAAGUUCAGGUAACACUGAAUGGAGGACCGAACCGACUUACGUUGAAAAGUGAGCGGAUGAACUGAGGGUAGCGGAGAAAUUCCAAUCGAACUUGGAGAUAGCUGGUUCUCUCCGAAAUAGCUUUAGGGCUAGCCUCAAGUGAUGAUUAUUGGAGGUAGAGCACUGUUUGGACGAGGGGCCCCUCUCGGGUUACCGAAUUCAGACAAACUCCGAAUGCCAAUUAAUUUAACUUGGGAGUCAGAACAUGGGUGAUAAGGUCCGUGUUCGAAAGGGAAACAGCCCAGACCACCAGCUAAGGUCCCAAAAUAUAUGUUAAGUGGAAAAGGAUGUGGCGUUGCCCAGACAACUAGGAUGUUGGCUUAGAAGCAGCCAUCAUUUAAAGAGUGCGUAAUAGCUCACUAGUCGAGUGACACUGCGCCGAAAAUGUACCGGGGCUAAACAUAUUACCGAAGCUGUGGAUUGUCCUUUGGACAAUGGUAGGAGAGCGUUCUAAGGGCGUCGAAGCAUGAUCGCAAGGACAUGUGGAGCGCUUAGAAGUGAGAAUGCCGGUGUGAGUAGCGAAAGACGGGUGAGAAUCCCGUCCACCGAUUGACUAAGGUUUCCAGAGGAAGGCUCGUCCGCUCUGGGUUAGUCGGGUCCUAAGCUGAGGCCGACAGGCGUAGGCGAUGGAUAACAGGUUGAUAUUCCUGUACCACCUAGUAUCGUUUUAAUCGAUGGGGGGACGCAGUAGGAUAGGCGAAGCGUGCUGUUGGAGUGCACGUCCAAGCAGUAAGGCUGAGUGUUAGGCAAAUCCGGCACUCAUAAGGCUGAGCUGUGAUGGGGAGAGGAAAUUGUUUCCUCGAGUCGUUGAUUUCACACUGCCGAGAAAAGCCUCUAGAUAGAUAACAGGUGCCCGUACCGCAAACCGACACAGGUAGUCAAGAUGAGAAUUCUAAGGUGAGCGAGCGAACUCUCGUUAAGGAACUCGGCAAAAUGACCCCGUAACUUCGGGAGAAGGGGUGCUCUUUAGGGUUCACGCCCAGAAGAGCCGCAGUGAAUAGGCCCAAGCGACUGUUUAUCAAAAACACAGGUCUCUGCUAAACCGUAAGGUGAUGUAUAGGGGCUGACGCCUGCCCGGUGCUGGAAGGUUAAGAGGAGUGGUUAGCUUCUGCGAAAACGGUCCUAAGGUAGCGAAAUUCCUUGUCGGGUAAGUUCCGACCCGCACGAAAGGCGUAACGAUUUGGGCACUGUCUCAACGAGAGACUCGGUGAAAUCAUAGUACCUGUGAAGAUGCAGGUUACCCGCGACAGGACGGAAAGACCCCGUGGAGCUUUACUGUAGCCUGAUAUUGAAAUUCGGCACAGCUUGUACAGGAUAGGUAGGAGCCUUUGAAACGUGAGCGCUAGCUUACGUGGAGGCGUUGGUGGGAUACUACCCUAGCUGUGUUGGCUUUCUAACCCGCACCACUUAUCGUGGUGGGAGACAGUGUCAGGCGGGCAGUUUGACUGGGGCGGUCGCCUCCUAAAAGGUAACGGAGGCGCUCAAAGGUUCCCUCAGAAUGGUUGGAAAUCAUUCAUAGAGUGUAAAGGCAUAAGGGAGCUUGACUGCGAGACCUACAAGUCGAGCAGGGUCGAAAGACGGACUUAGUGAUCCGGUGGUUCCGCAUGGAAGGGCCAUCGCUCAACGGAUAAAAGCUACCCCGGGGAUAACAGGCUUAUCUCCCCCAAGAGUUCACAUCGACGGGGAGGUUUGGCACCUCGAUGUCGGCUCAUCGCAUCCUGGGGCUGUAGUCGGUCCCAAGGGUUGGGCUGUUCGCCCAUUAAAGCGGUACGCGAGCUGGGUUCAGAACGUCGUGAGACAGUUCGGUCCCUAUCCGUCGUGGGCGUAGGAAAUUUGAGAGGAGCUGUCCUUAGUACGAGAGGACCGGGAUGGACAUACCUCUGGUGUACCAGUUGUCGUGCCAACGGCAUAGCUGGGUAGCUAUGUAUGGACGGGAUAAGUGCUGAAAGCAUCUAAGCAUGAAGCCCCCCUCAAGAUGAGAUUUCCCAACUUCGGUUAUAAGAUCCCUCGAAGAUGACGAGGUUAAUAGGUUCGAGGUGGAAGCGUGGUGACACGUGGAGCUGACGAAUACUAAUCGAUCGAAGACUUAAUCAA
rnacentral:rRNA from 1 species